ensembl:rRNA 5S_rRNA 5S ribosomal RNA
GUCUACGGCCAUAGCACCCUGAACACGCCUGAUCUUGUCUGAUCUCACAAGCUAAGCAGGGAUUGGCCUGGUUAGUACUUAGAUGAGAGACUGCCUGGGAAUACUGGGUGCUGUAGGCU